CCUACGGGAGGCAGCAGUAGGGAAUAUUGCACAAUGGGCGCAAGCCUGAUGCAGCAACGCCGCGUGAGGGACGACGGCCUUCGGGUUGUAAACCUCUUUUAGUAGGGAAGAAGCGAAAGUGACGGUACCUGCAGAAAAAGCACCGGCUAACUACGUGCCAGCAGCCGCGGUAAUACGUAGGGUGCAAGCGUUGUCCGGAAUUAUUGGGCGUAAAGAGCUCGUAGGCGGUUUGUCGAGUCUGCUGUGAAACCCCGGGCUCAACCUCGGGCCUGCAGUGGGUACGGGCAGACUAGAGUGCGGUAGAGGAGAUUGGAAUUCCUGGUGUAGCGGUGAAAUGCGCAGAUAUCAGGAGGAACCCGAUGGCGAAGGCAGAUCUCUGGGCCGUAACUGACGCUGAGGAGCGAAAGCAUGGGGAGCAAACAGGAUUAGAUACCCUGGUAGUCCAUGCCGUAAACGUUGGGAACUAGAUGUAGGGUCCAUUCCACGGAUUCUGUGUCGCAGCUAACGCAUUAAGUUCCCCGCCUGGGGAGUACGGCCGCAAGGCUAAAACUCAAAGGAAUUGACGG
rnacentral:rRNA from 1 species